UCGAGAUAAAAGCUUAGGAAGUUCUCUAUUAGGGUUAUCGGAAAUUACUAACCGCCCUAUCUCGCUUCUGUAACUUCGCCUGCUUGCUAAAUGGAUAACUUAGGUUGCAAAACGCUCCCCCAUCCCUUCUCCCAAGAUCUGGCCUAGGCAAAGACCAACAUGUAAAAAGUCACGAACUCACUGCCCCAAGGUAUCUUAGGUGUCUCACUAUGAUUGGUCAUUUUAAACCCUCUUAGGACAAAGAACUUUAAAUUGAUAGGUUCCCGCCAAAACUAACAGAUGGGAAGAGCA